rnacentral:pre_miRNA from 1 species
AAUAAGCGUUGUUGUAGGUUUAAUUGUAUAACUUUAAUUAUCUAUCUUAUUUAAAAUAUUUUUAUUGUUAUUAGAUGAUAAAAUAUAAAUAGUACUUUAUGAGUGACUUUAACUUUUCAAUUUUUUUCAUAAUUUUUUUAAAUAAUAUGGACGGUUACACGUUGGGCAUGGAAACUUGCUUCACUUAUA